rnacentral:hammerhead_ribozyme from 1 species
AUCCAGAUGAUGAGAGCCAAAUAGGACGAAAUGCGCAUCCCGCAU